AACGAACGCUGGCGGCAUGCCUAACACAUGCAAGUCGAACGAGACCUUCGGGUCUAGUGGCGCACGGGUGCGUAACGCGUGGGAACCUGCCCUUAGGUUCGGAAUAACUCCCCGAAAGGGGUGCUAAUACCGGAUAAUGUCUUCGGACCAAAGAUUUAUCGCCUUUGGAUGGGCCCGCGUUGGAUUAGCUAGUUGGUAGGGUAAAAGCCUACCAAGGCGACGAUCCAUAGCUGGUCUGAGAGGAUGAUCAGCCACACUGGGACUGAGACGCGGCCCAGACUCCUACGGGAGGGAGCAGUGGGGAAUAUUGGACAAUGGGCGAAAGCAUGAUCCAGCAAUGCCGCGUGAGUGAUGAAGGCCUUAGGGUUGUAAAGCUCUUUUACCCGGGAUGAUAAUGACAGUACCGGGAGAAUAAGCUCCGGCUAACUCCGUG
rnacentral:rRNA from 1 species